GCCGGGCAUGGUGGCGAGUGCCUGUGGUCCCAGCUACUUGGGAGGCUGAGGCAGAAGAAUUGCUCGAACCCAGGAGGCAGAGAUUGCAGUGAGCUGAGAUUGGGCCACUGCACUCCAGCCUUGGUGACAGAGCAAGACUCUGCCUCAA
ensembl:misc_RNA Metazoa_SRP Metazoan signal recognition particle RNA